rnacentral:rRNA from 1 species
CACGUAGGGUGCGAGCGUUAAUCGGAAUUACUGGGCGUAAAGCGUGCGCAGGCGGUUUUGUAAGCCAGAUGUGAAAUCCCCGGGCUUAACCUGGGAAUGGCAUUUGGGACUGCAAGGCUUGAGUGCGGCAGAGGAGACUGGAAUUCCUGGUGUAGCAGUGAAAUGCGUAGAUAUCAGGAGGAACACCGAUGGCGAAGGCAGGUCUCUGGGCUGACACUGACGCUCAUGCACGAAAGCGUGGGGAGCAAACAGG